rfam:Ruminococcus sp. CAG:382 genomic scaffold, scf211
CCAUACUAACCGGGGAGUCAGCGGUGCCUUGUCGCCUGCAACCCGCUAUAGCAGGGGUGAUAUGCCAUUUGAGGGCGGUUCAUGUACAGCCGCGCUGUUCGGAAGCCGUUGAGAGACGGGUCUUACGCGAUUGUCUGCCGCGAACCAUGUCAGGUGGGGAACCAAGCAGCAUUAAACGGAUUUGCCAAUGCGCCGUAAGGUCACCUGUUUUGAGGACAAUGUUCAGCACCCGUGUAUGUGCCUCGUUCGAUUAUGGAUGUAUGG